rnacentral:sRNA from 1 species
AAGGAGAAGGUGGACUCUUUGAGUUCAUAGAGAGACGGCUGAAGGAUCAUGGUCACAUGGUGAUUGUUCUUGCUGAGGGUGCAGGACAGGAUUUGAU